rnacentral:rRNA from 1 species
CCUACGGGUGGCAGCAGUAGGGAAUCUUCCGCAAUGGACGAAAGUCUGACGGAGCAACGCCGCGUGAGCGAAGAAGGCCUUCGGGUCGUAAAGCUCUGUUGUUAGGGAAGAACAAGUACGAGAGUAACUGCUCGUACCUUGACGGUACCUAACCAGAAAGCCACGGCUAACUACGUGCCAGCAGCCGCGGUAAUACGUAGGUGGCAAGCGUUGUCCGGAAUUAUUGGGCGUAAAGCGCGCGCAGGUGGUUCCUUAAGUCUGAUGUGAAAGCCCACGGCUCAACCGUGGAGGGUCAUUGGAAACUGGGGAACUUGAGUGCAGAAGAGGAAAGUGGAAUUCCAAGUGUAGCGGUGAAAUACGUAGAGAUUUGGAGGAACACCAGUGGCGAAGGCGACUUUCUGGUCUGUAACUGACACUGAGGCGCGAAAGCGUGGGGAGCAAACAGGAUUAGAUACCCUGGUAGUC